rnacentral:rRNA from 1 species
AACGUACGCUGGCGGCACGCCUAACACAUGCAAGUCGAACGAAGUAGCAAUACUUAGUGGCAGACGGGUGAGUAACAUGUAGGUAUCUGCCCUUUGGCCUGGAAUAACACGAGGAAACUUGUGCUAAUACCGGAUAAGUCUUUACGGAGAAAGCUUUAUGCACCAUUGGAUGAGCCUGCACUUGAUUAGUUUGUUGGUGGGGUAAUGGCCUACCAAGACUGUGAUCAAUAGCUGAUUUGAGAGGAUGAUCAGCCACAUUGGGACUGAGACACGGCCCAAACUCCUACGGGAGGCAGCAGUGGGGAAUCUUGCACAAUGGAGGAAACUCUGAUGCAGCGAUGCCGCGUGAGUGAAGAAGGCCCUUGGGUUGUAAAGCUCUUUCGUCGGGGAAGAAAAUGACUGUACCCGAAUAAGAAGGUCCGGCUAACUUCGUGCCAGCAGCCGCGGUAAUACGAAGGGACCUAGCGUAGUUCGGAAUUACUGGGCUUAAAGAGUUCGUAGGUGGUUGAAAAAGUUAGUGGUGAAAUCCCAGAGCUUAACUCUGGAACUGCCAUUAAAACUUUUCAGCUAGAGUAUGAUAGAGGAAAGCAGAAUUUCUAGUGUAGAGGUGAAAUUCGUAGAUAUUAGAAAGAAUACCAAUUGCGAAGGCAGCUUUCUGGAUCAUUACUGACACUGAGGAACGAAAGCAUGGGUAGCGAAGAGGAUUAGAUACCCUCGUAGUCCAUGCCGUAAACGAUGUGUGUUAGACGUUGGAAAUUUAUUUUCAGUGUCGCAGGGAAACCGAUAAACACACCGCCUGGGGAGUACGACCGCAAGGUUAAAACUCAAAUGAAUUGACGGGGACCCGCACAAGUAGUGGAGCAUGUGGUUUAAUUCGAAGAUACGCGCAGAACCUUACCAACACUUGACAUGUUCGUCGCGACUCUAAGAGAUUAGAGUUUUCGGUUCGGCCGGACGAAACACAGGUGCUGCAUGGCUGUCGUCAGCUCGUGUCGUGAGAUGUUGGGUUAAGUCCCGCAACGAGCGCAACCCUCACUUUUAGUUGCCAUCAUUAAGUUGGGCACUCUGAAAGAACUGCCAGUGAUAAGCUGGAGGAAGGUGGGGAUGACGUCAAGUCCUCAUGGCCCUUACGUGUUGGGCUACACACGUGCUACAAUGGUAUCUACAACAGGAAGCAAGACUGCGAAGUUAAGCAAAUCCCUAAAAGAUACCUCAGUUCGGAUUGCACUCUGCAACUCGAGUGCAUGAAGCUGGAAUUACUAGUAAUCGUGAAUCAGCGUGCCACGGUGAAUGCGUUCCCGGGUCU